UAUACACGAAAUUGAGUAAGUAACUGAAGUACUUUCAUUUAUGGUGGGCGAUGUACUACUGCUCUUGUGUCUUUUGUGUGUGGAAGCUGAGCUUAGACUCUACUACAUUUACCCGCGCAGUGCUCUUUGCUUAGUAACAGGUGCACUGCAAACACAUGCAGUUGGCUAUGCCCCAUGUCAUUUUAGAAAAGAAUGGAAAAUAUGUACAUUUAGGAUAUUCAAAGGAUGUAGUAAAAACUGCAAUCUACAAUCUAGCUGGUUAUCUUCAGUUAAUAGCUAUAUUUGCGCGGGAGGGUCUGAUCCGUUAAUGGGGGAGGGGUGGUGAGGGGUAUGCACAGAACUAGAACUUGAUCGAACACGUUGCAUGCUCACGAGAACAGAGGGCUGGCGUCGUUUCGGUGUGUUCAUUUUAAGCCAAGUAUUCUAUUUUUAAAGUUUUCUUUUCUUAUCCAACCCAGGUGUUUAAUGCACACAUGCACUUGUGGUCUUAACCGAAGAUUAAUGAAAUGUAAGCUUUCCUGCACACGAAGUCAAAGAACAACCGACCUAGAUAGAGUGCAUAUAACCUGAAUUUAAACUUUGCACAGGGAAUUGGAUGAAACAUGUGGGAAUAGUAUCCUAUUUAUUGAAGUGCAUAUCACUUUUUUUUUAGUUGCACUUAUGGUGCAAUGCAAAGCAUGCACUGCCUUAUCUCGUUUUACUUUGCCUAUAUCUUCCUCUUUUAAGUGGAGCAUUGUUUACAAGUAGCCUAGUUUACAGAAUGCAUGCUCCUCAUUCACGAAUCCUGUGCUGUUUAUUAAAUGCUUAACCUCACCAAUUCCUUCUUUCUUUCUUUCUUUCUUUCUUUAAGGACUUCUGCUGCACUGUUCGAAGUCUGUAAGAUCAGUGCUGAAUUCAAAAGAAUAACCACAGUUCCCCUGCAAUCCAAGCAACUGUUGCUGAAUUGGCUGAUUUGUACAAGAUGCACCAUUUCUGAGGACUUCUGGCACAGUGGCCUGCACUGUUCAAAGUUUGCAAGAUCAGUGCUGAAUUGAAAAGAAUCACCACAGUCCCACUGCAAUGCCCUGCACUGUUCCAAGUCCACAAGGUCAUGGAUGAAGUUGCCGUAGACGAAGCAAUUGAAGACAUCACUAUUGGAAUCUGCUCUGACAGAAGAUUGGGCAUCCCACCCAAAGGACAUUGUCAGUUUUAGUGUAUGUCUGUCACACACGUGACACCCAAUCGGAAAGGACUCUUUUUUUUCAGCAACUAAAAAACAGCAGUUAUUUUUGUUUCUUUAAGUGAAAUGUACCUUUUUUCUAGAGAUCAAUUUGCUUGUAUGCACUUCCAGCUCCUUGCUGGUUUAAGAAUAGUACUUGAGUGUGCAUAUGUUUUGUACAUACUGUGUUGAUUUUGACCCAAACUAAAGACAAACAAAAUACCAAGACUAGACUUAAAUAAGACUGGGUAAUAACACAAAUGUGGUCCACAAAGAGGACAACCAAAUGAAUGGUGGACUGCCAGAUGCACGCGCACAUGCAUACAGUAUACGCGCAUGAACGCACACACGCACACCUACAAGUGUGGACUAAUGC